GCUACCUAUCUUUGGUCACAAUUUUUCCACCCCAUUUGACGCUUACGCGUAUGUUUUAUGCAGCAUUUCUUUUCGAUUUGCAGAUCCCGCAAAGCCACGCUUUGGAAUAAACUCUGCAAUAGGAGAUGUAGAAUGUCACCUUUGAGCAGCUCUGUCCGAGAUUGUUUAUAUGUCUGAGUAUUGUAUCUUUUCCAGGAAAUAUUAUGCUCAGAUCUGGUAAUGAUUUGUAGUUGAAGUUAAUAACCAAUCGGAGAGCUUUGUCUCAAAAUGCUACUAGAUAUAAUUCUGUCCGCUUGCAGUCUUUGUGAGAAACUGUUUAUCAAUCAUUUCUACACUUUCUUCACAAUACAAUCAAAGUUCACCACGACUAUGAAAUCCUCGUUUCAGGAACGUUUUGUUUCCUUAAUCUUUUGAACGUGCAUGACUAAUUUUUUUUUUCUUUUAUGUGUAUUUUUUUCAGUUCAAAAAAUUUUCCUAGCAGUUUACAUGUGUUUCGUGCUGACUGCUCAUCUUUGAAUGAAUUUCAAGUGAUUAGCUGACUGAUCCAGGGAUCAAUGUAGCCCCACAGUCGUCGAGAUCAACAGAAUGAAGAUCUCAUUUACGCCAACGUUUAUUCCCGAAAAUUGACGUUUUUGCCAGUUCCUGGGCGAAUACUUGCUUCAGGAAGUAUUUUCAAGACGAGUAUUUCCUUAUCUAAAGAUCAGGAGCCCAGAAUUUGAAGGAGAGGUUUGAUGAUUUUGCGGUAAAUAACUGAGGGGUUAAUAAUUCCAGUGGCUGAAAUUACGGACUAGAGCGUGAGAAUCAAGCAUAAGG
rnacentral:misc_RNA from 1 species